rnacentral:lncRNA from 1 species
GUGCACGCGCUUCCGUGCGGUGUGGAGAGAAAUUUCUCUUCGAGGAGGGGAGGCGCGCGCUCUCGUUCAUUCUGGGGGAGGAGCGUUGUUCGCUCCCCCUUCUCUGCGUGGCCUCAAUUCAGCCUAAUUCGUUUAUUAACCGCCAUCAAGUGGGGUAGAGGAAAGCUUUGGGUCCAUGAGAAGAUGUUUUUCUCUCCCCCCCAUUACCUACCCACAGCAAAGUAUCUGCUCAUGGACCCAGAGCGUGCCUCUGCCUCACUGCUGGGGGGGUGUCGUUAUAUUCGUUGCCCUGGAAGGGAACGUUCCCCGUUUUGCCUCAAGAAAGUGAACGCACGUUGCUCGUUUGUCAGUGGGUGCGCAGCAACUUCCUCUGGUCCUUACGUAGGAAAGGCUCUUGCCCAGCGGGCUUGCUUGUUCCUCUUUGUGAGGUCCAGACAAGGACGAUCCUACUGUAUGUUUGUUCGAGCGGAUACCCCUUUCAGGUUGAAAACUAUGCUUAGAACCUUCCCCAACUCCUACGGAACAGAAACUGGCUCACUCAGGAUUGCACUGGCCACAGCAAUUAAGCAGAAAGCCACCACUUCUAAAGAAGGAGGCAAAGGACGUGUGUCUCCUUGGAGGGACUGUAGUAAAGCACUUCUGAGUACUUUCUUCCAAGAAAACCGUAAGUCAGAAUUGACAGCAUGUACAAUACAUGGAUGUGGUGGCGCUGGGGGCUAAACCGCAGAAGCCUCUGUGCUGCAAGGUCAGAAGACCAGCAGUCGUAAGAUCGAAUCCAUGUGACGGAGUGAGCUCCCGUCGCUUUGUCCCAGCUCCUGCCAACCUAGCAGUUUGAAAGCAUGUAAAAAUGCGAGUAGAUAAAUAGGUACUACCACGAUGAGAAGGUAAAAGUGUAAAAUACUGUACAGUUUGAUUUGCACAGAUUGUUCCAGAACAUUCUCUGAAGUACAACCUAUGUGAGACAGAGAAAUCAACUAGGAUGGUUAUUUCAUCAAUCAAUUUCUUAAAGAAUCUACAACAAAAUGUAACAGAAACCACUUGUACUUUGUUCUUUUCAUGAGAAGGUAAAACAGCGUUCCUAGUCACGCUAGCCACGUGACAAUGGAAAGUGUCUUCGGACAAGUGCUGGCUCUACGGCUUGAAAAACGGGACGAGCACCGCCCCCUAGAGUUGGACACGAUUGGAGUAAAAAUGUCAAGGGGUUGUGUCUUUUUAAAACAGUACAAUAGCUCUGAAAAGACUCAGGCAUUGAUUUAUACCAGAGCUCUGAAAUGAACGCUGACAUAGCUGGGGAGUCUAUGACAUAUGAGUUUGUGUCCACGCGCACACGCUAAGUGUGCUAGUAGGAAAAUGGUGUGUGUGUUUACAGAAGAGGGAAGAAGGUGGAUUUGGCCAUUGCCAUAUGUGAUUCUUAGGGGCCGAAAGGUUGCUCACACUUCCCUACUAAUGCCCGCAAAAACCAGUCCUGGAGAGCUGGAAAACCCUCCCAAACUGUUUUGUUUGUUUGUUUGUUUGUUUGUGUCCACAGGACUAAGGAAGGGAGCAGACUGGGAGCAUGUUCUGUUGUAAUCACCAGCACAACACUGGGUGUAGCACUGAGAAUCUGGAAGGCUGCUGGUUGCUUACCCUUAGUUUAGUAUAAUUUAUUGUGGACCAGACACGAUAGUCAGUUGCAUAUACAAGUGAAGCUGAUGUUUGCUUGCAAGCACUUCUCCACUAAUGGGAGCCAUGAAACAGGAUCUUAAGAGAAGCUCAAUAAACAAAUGAUUUCUCUCUUGGAGAUGUUUUUU